rnacentral:lncRNA from 1 species
ACAAACAAACAAAAAACCCCAGGACACUCUGUUGUCUUGUCACUGUCCCUCACAUGUUCUGUGACCCCAGACAAACCACUUCCCUUAUCUGAGCCUCAGUUUCCCCAUCUGCAGCCCAGCACAGUCCCAGCACAGAACACAUGUUCAAUAAAUGAAUCAUGGAGAUCUCUAGUUAACCUGUAGGACUCCAGCCAGCUCGAGAGAUCUAUUAAUACAAUUCUACCCACGAUUCUGCUCUUUCGAAAGUGCAGCUUUCUUAGUUGAGUUCUUCCAGAUGCAGACUUUGAGAUGAGGCUUCAUCUGCAAGCAAUUUAUUAAGGAGUGCUUCCUGAAGACCAGCAGGGAAAAGAAGCUACAGUGUGGUGUCAAGCAAGACCCAGCCUCAGCCUGAUCAAACCAGGUGCUCUGGAGAAUGCAUUAUGACUUUGUGCUAUGGAGAAUGCAUUAUGACUUCGUACCUCAAUGCAAGACAGCUGGGCUCUCACAGUUCUGGGCCCACCAGUCACUGGCUAUGGGGCCACCUGGGAGGGGUGUGUGAAUUCCCAGGCACUUGCAUCUCUGCAGGAGUGCAAGGGCGGGCCCCUGAAGUAGGUUUAAGUGAUCGCUCUUGGAGGUGAAGCAUAACGAAGCUGGGGGAGCAACAAGAAAUACCUUCAUCUUUUUAGAGAAGAGUGAAAUUGAAGCCAGAGAGGUUGGUUAACUUGCCCAAGAUCACAAAGCUUCCAAGAUGAAGAGCUGGGAUUUCAUUUCAGGUUUCCCAUCUGGCAACAUCCAAGCCCUUUCCAUAAUUCCACACUGUGAAUUUGCUUCCCAAACCAAGAGUGGGAUACAAUUAGCUGGGGAGUGCAACUCAUCCCUCAAUCACUGAUCUGAGUAUGGAUAUCAAAAGAAACAUUUCCUGAAGCAAGACGCUGAGCUGGAAGCUUCCACGGUUGUGCCUAUACUGUGGCAGUCCUGCGCGAACCUGUCCGGCCCCAUGGAAACCUGCAGGGCUGAGGUCUCCCAGGGCAAAUGGGGCUGCAGGAUGCUCACUACACCCCCAGAAACAGGAGAAGGGACAAGGACACAGGACUGUCUGGUUCUGAGAGGCCUGGCCUCUGCUUCCUCCGCCCAUCCAAUAAGUACCACCUGUCUGUUGAGGGGCUCAGUGGCUUCAAGGUUUCAACCCUGGCUACAUCAUGGAACCAUCUGGGGAGCUUUCCAAGUACUGAUGCCUGAACCUUAGUCACAGAUUAAUGGAAACCUGAGGAAUGGGGACCCAUGACCUGGAGUCUGUAAGGCUUCCCCAUUGAUGUGAUGCUUGGUGAAAUCUGUUUGGGUGAGUACAUUCAGUGGCCACUUGCCAUGACUUUUCCUGUCUCUAUAGCUACAUCUGGGUCCCUGGAUCCCUGCAACUAGAUUUAAGCUGGAGGAAGAAGUUUCCAUUUUGGCCUUGAGCCUAAGCCUAGUUUUUCAAACCUGCUUUUGGCAGAACAGUGCAAUGAGGCAUGAGAGUUUUGCCAAUAUACUAAUAAAGCCGUGCUCUCCCUCCCAUCUGCCGCACGAUCCCUGUGGGCCUGCUCUACUGUCCUGGACCUGGAGGAGAAGGGGAGCAUGUGGGAGCAACUGGGAGCCACGACUCCCUGGCAAACAACAUUGGGGACUUUCAACACCAUUUUAAAAAUAGAGUCACUUAUUUCAGUAUAUCUCGGCCAGUUCAGCAAAUGACUUUAGGUGGCUUACACUGUAAAUAUAGAAAACAAAAUGAGGAUAAAAAUAAGAAUAGAGAUUUUGGACCAAGGAAUUAUAAUGUCAAGUAGAGAGCAAGGCAAUUAAAAAAAAAAAAAAAGAGCAGAAGAGUGCAGAUCAAAAACAAAGCAGGCAGUGUAUAUACUGAGAUACUUCAACCUGUUAAGAGUAAUUGGGCAUUGCUUGAUUCAAUAACACACAUUUUGAGUGUAAGAACUAGACGUUAUUCCCAUUUGACAGAUGAUGAAACUGAGACUUAACAGAUUGUCUGAGGCCUGGCAGCUAGUGACCCCAGAGUCACAUUCAGGCUGCCUGUGGUGGGGCCUUUGUUCCUACAGCACCUCAUGACCUCGCUAAAGUGGUUUAGCCCUGAGCUUCCAUUCAACCAGAGGGAAGAAGACUGACACAGCCAGACACAAACAUAUUCAUUAUCAGAAAGUAUGAAGCAUUCUAGUUCCCCAGGAAAAGCAGUAUUUCCCUCAAUCACUCAAUUCAAAAAUGGCAUUCCUCAGGUGGGAGUGGGGAAGGCUUCACAGACGAGCAGAGGGCAGGGUUUUGUGGCGUAAGUGGGGGUUCACCAGGUGGGCGGGGGUGGGAGAACAUUUAGGAAAAUGUACAGCACAUUUAAAGACCUGGACAAUUAUAAGAAACCAUCUGGUGUUGGAGGCUACAAAAAGGCCAGAGUUUAUGAAGCACAAAGUGAGGUUAACUAACUUAAUAACAUUUUAAACCUUAGUCAAAUUAGAAAACCAAAGAGAAGUGAAAAGAAAAUUUAAUUUAAAGACAUAGAAUACAAUCUUAUCAAGGUGGGCUUCACUAAUGUGGAACAUGCAGUGAUUCAGAGAUGCAAAAAAAAAAAAACAGCAUUCACAAAGCUGAUUUAUAAUGUAAGCAAGAUUGAAGGCAACAGUUCAAAGCCACAUAAGGCACCAAUAGGUUUUCAAAUAUUCAGGAAUUCAUGGUCACAUAGCAACAAAGAUAUGCUAAUGACAAGCACUUAACAUAUUCAUUACAAUAGGUCCCUGUGGUCCUGCAGUACCACUCCUGGCUACACCUUAUUAGUCCUUCUACUUUCUGCACAAUGUUGAUGCACAAGCCUGCCUUGCUUGGCUUGCUUCUGUACAAACAACCACCGUGCAUGUUCAAUUAAAGUAAUACUCAUUUUAUGUGUACCUUUAGCUGGAAUUGUGGCUGAGAAGGGCAGCCUCGGUCACCAAUCUGCUUUAUAAUGUCCUGUAAAGGAUCUCUGUAAUGCCUAGGACUCCCCGAGAUUAACCUCCACAUGCAAAACCUGGGAAUGAGUUGUGCUUCAUCAGAAAUCUCAUUACCUUCAGUACAGACCUGAAGGGUGUGGACAAAAUGGAAAUUGUCAGAGUGGCUUAGGCUGAUGUUUCCUUUCACUGCACCUCAUACAAAAGUACAUAAUUAGGAAGGAAAGACAGGAUCAGCCACCUCUGUAUAAACACUGUGCGCAGCAGGGAUUUUAAGUCAGCCUGACACAAAGAACUGCCAUUGUGACUGCCACACAACCAGUGCCACCGAAAUGUGACAUGAGGACACAAUGUUUGGAUGCAGUAGAGCAUGAAGGCCAAGCUCCCAGACCUUUGUGCAAGUCUAGCCGUCUGCCAGGUGCCGCCUUCCUCCUUUAUCUGCCUCUUGAAAUCCUGCCUAAAGAGGGAGUGUGGCAUCACCACCCCAUGGAUCACCAGGAUUCCAUGUGGGCCGUGGGCCUAAAUAUGCUGCAGAGAGAGUGAGAGGGGUCCAUUUCUACCCUUCUCUCCUACCAGACAGACCAACUCCCCCAGAUGGCGAAGCAUAGCAGCUUUCUCCCCUUGUCCUUCAGUACCCAACUCGAACAUUCAUGCAGAAAGCAUUGGUUGAACAAAUGACCAUUAAUCCUCUGAAAAAAAUUAUUAGUAUUAUUGGGAAUCAAAGGCACACGUAUUAAAACAAGUAUAAGCUACCACCUUCCCACCACCAUGCCCCAUCAGAUUACAAAUUAGUUGGUGAAAAGGCGGUCAAAGAGGCAUUUCCACAGGUGGCGUGUCAAGUGGUAUAAAUUCUGAAAUGCAAUUUCACAGUAUGUUUCAAAAGUUUUUUGAUAGAGUGUUGGCUGACAUCUAGACAUUUAUAUUCUAUGCAGAUAAUCAGGGAUGCAGACAAAGUUUGCUCAUCAUAAUAAUAGCUAACUUUGAGAAGUAUCCAUUGUUAGGCAACAUGCCCUCACUUUAUAUAGAUUUUGUGAAGUUCCUACUCUGAUGAAAUAAGAACAGUUCAUCAUAGGGGGUAGUUUCUAUGGCAUGAGAUAGCACAUUUCAAGCAUUUUGAAGAAAAACUAACAUGCAGAAAAAAAAAUGCAGUGAAUUCUAAAUAUUUUCAUUAUUAUCAUUAUUAUUUGCUGGAAAAAAAAACAACAGAAAACAUGUUUUACCAUGAAACAUAAAUGGGGCUUAUUCCAGGCAGGAUGGCUCACUAUUGAUAAAUUGAAUAAUGUCAUUAACCAUAAUUGAAGAGCAAGGAACCUAAACAUCUGAGCAUUUUUAUAAUUUUUCAAAAAGCUUCUGAUAAAAUUCAAAAUCACUUCCAAAGAUAAAAAUCUCUUAAGAAAACAUGAAUAAAAGGAUAGCAUCCAAAGAUUAUCAAUGUACCAAACAAGGGAACUAGUUAAGAGGUAUAACUGUUGCAAAAGCAGACUAUGUUCAACUAUUCAUUCAAUUAUUCAUGCCUUCUACCAAUAUUUCUUGAAUGAAUUCUUUGUGAUGAAAUCUGGCAGCCCAGAAAUAGUGCAUUCAUUUUAGUGGAGAUAAAUAAGGAACUAAGCAAAUAAAUGAAAAAGAUAAUUCCCAAUGGUGACAUAUGCUCUGAAAAAAACUGAUACAGAGUGAUGAGGAACAGACUGAAGGACUGGGUGGUCGUAAGAGGUGCCCACUGCACAUGCUCCCUGACUCUUGCUGCAGCAGCUAAAGGAACUCCAAUCAAGUUCAGCUUGAAAACCAUCAGUCAACCAAGUCAUGCUCUGCAGCAAAGUGAUUCCAAGAGGAUGACAAGUUAGCACAGAGUCACCCAGACAUGAGUGAUCUACAGAGCUGGGCACCUCCUACCAGCUCCACAUCAAACCCCACCCUGAACACUUCCCACAGAGUGAUGAUGUGCCAAGGUGAGCUCUUUGCUAGCCACAGUCUCCAUCACUCCCUAUUGUCCCUCCCUAUUGUCCUUCUUCAUUCAUUUGUCACCUGCCUUCCCCUGCAGACAUCUGAGUUUCUGAGUCCCAAUUUGGUACAGCUCUUGGGCCCAAAGACCUGAAGGUGAAGACCAUUUCUAAAGCCCACCUGCUUGGAAGAAACCAACUGAGGUCCUGGCAGGCUGGAUACCUGAUGCUUCUAGAGAUUUGAAAGGAGAGGACGGGGCAUCAUAUCUGCCAUGGCACCCACCCUGACUGCACCACAGAUGGUCAUGACCAACAGCAAUGCUGCAGCUGUCUAGGGCCGUGGAGUGCUGUGCUCACCUAGAUCUGGAUUUAUUCCUGGCUGAAUUUUCAUCCCCUACAUGUGUUCUUCCUUUUGUUUUCUCACUAGUAGUAAUA